AACCUGGUUGAUCCUGCCAGUAGUGUAUGCUUCUCCUAAAGACUAAGCCAUGCAUGCCUUCGAAUAAGAAGAAAGCAAUUCUCUCUGAAUCUGCGAACGGCUCCGCAAACCAGUUGUAAACCAUAGCGAGCACGCCCUCGGCCCUCGGGCUGGGGGCGAUAAGGAUAACCCUGGUAAUUCUGAGGCUAAUACUUGACCGUAACACCUGGCCGACCGGCAACGGGAGGCUGGGGGUCGUGUAAGCACCUCACGCAGAAUUCACCGGGAAGGGAUGCACGUUCAGACCACCACAAACAACGGUUGCAGGAGGACCCGCGCAAGCGGCGAUACCUGCUUCCGGGUGGCUCUCGCUCGGUGCUUCUGACCUAUCAACUAGAUGGCAGUGUAAGGGACAUGCUAUGGUUACAACGGGUACAGAGGAUAAGGGUUCGAUCCUGGAGAGUGGGCGUGAGAGAUUGCUCGCACUUCUAAGGAAGGCAGCAGGCGCGCAACGUUCCCAUUGGGCAAUGCCCGAGGGCGUUAGGGGACAUAUGAAUGCCUGUCUCAAAGAUGGACAAUUCAAAUGGGUCUGUUCUAAACAGGCUCUC
rnacentral:rRNA from 1 species